UGUANANCNNCGNCCNNUNACUCCUACGGGAGGCAGCAGUGGGGAAUAUUGCGCAAUGGGCGAAAGCCUGACGCAGCGACGCCGCGUGAGGGAUGACGGCCUUCGGGUUGUAAACCUCUUUCAGUAGGGACGAAGCGCAAGUGACGGUACCUACAGAAGAAGCACCGGCCAACUACGUGCCAGCAGCCGCGGUAAUACGUAGGGUGCAAGCGUUGUCCGGAAUUAUUGGGCGUAAAGAGCUCGUAGGCGGUCUGUCACGUCGGCUGUGAAAACCCGAGGCUCAACCUCGGGCCUGCAGUCGAUACGGGCAAACUAGAGUACUGCAGGGGAGACUGGAAUUCCUGGUGUAGCGGUGAAAUGCGCAGAUAUCAGGAGGAACACCGGUGGCGAAGGCGGGUCUCUGGGCAGUAACUGACGCUGAGGAGCGAAAGCGUGGGGAGCGAACAGGAUUAGAUACCCUGGUAGUCCACGCCGUAAACGUUGGGCGCUAGGUGUGGGGGCCAUUCCACGGUCUCCGUGCCGCAGCUAACGCAUUAAGCGCCCCGCCUGGGGAGUACGGCCGCAAGGCUAAAACUCAAAGGAAUUGACGGGGGCCCGCACAAGCGGCGGAGCAUGUUGCUUAAUUCGAUGCAACGCGAAGAACCUUACCUAGGCUUGACAUGCACGGAAAUCUGUCAGAGAUGGCAGGUCCUUUAAAGGGUCGUGCACAGGUGGUGCAUGGUUGUCGUCAGCUCGUGUCGUGAGAUGUUGGGUUAAGUCCCGCAACGAGCGCAACCCUCGUUCUAUGUUGCCAGCACGUGAUGGUGGGGACUCAUAGGAGACUGCCGGGGUCAACUCGGAGGAAGGUGGGGAUGACGUCAAAUCAUCAUGCCCCUUAUGUCUAGGGCUGCAAACAUGCUACAAUGGCCGGUACAAAGGGCUGCGAUACCGCGAGGUGGAGCGAAUCCCAAAAAGCCGGUCUCAGUUCGGAUUGGGGUCUGCAACUCGACCCCAUGAAGUUGGAGUCGCUAGUAAUCGCAGAUCAGCAACGCUGCGGUGAAUACGUUCCCGGGCCUUGUACACACCGCCCGUCACGUCACGAAAGUCGGUAACGCCCGAAGCCGGUGGCCCAACCCCUUGUGGGAGGGAGCCGUCGAAGGCGGGAUCGGCGAUUGGGACGAAGUCGUAACAAGGUAACCGUCAUA
rnacentral:rRNA from 1 species